rnacentral:rRNA from 1 species
AGGAUAAACGCUGGCGGCGUGCAUGAGACAUGCAAGUCGAACGGACACUCGGGGCUUGCUCCGAGUGUUAGUGGCGGACGGCCGAGUAACGCGUAGGUGACCUGCCCCGAAGUGGGGAAUAACUGCCCGAAAGGGUGGCUAAUACCGCAUGUGGUGGAACGUUCAUUCGUUCCAGUAAAGCCGCAAGGCGCUUCGGGAGGGGCCUGCGUCCGAUUAGCUCGUUGGUGGGGUAACGGCUCACCAAGGCGACGAUCGGUAGGUGGUCUGAGAGGACGAUCACCCAGACUGGGACUGAGACACGGCCCAGACUCCUACGGGAGGCAGCAGUCGGGAAUUUUGCGCAAUGGACGAAAGUCUGACGCAGCAACGCCGCGUGAGGGAUGACGGCCUUCGGGUUGUAAACCUCUUUAUCAGGGACGAUAAUGACGGUACCUGAUGAAUAAGUCACGGCUAACUACGUGCCAGCAGCCGC